rnacentral:rRNA from 1 species
AUUGAACGCUGGCGGCAUGCCUUACACAUGCAAGUCGAACGGUAACAGGUCUUCGGAUGCUGACGAGUGGCGAACGGGUGAGUAAUACAUCGGAACGUGCCUAGUAGUGGGGGAUAACUACUCGAAAGAGUGGCUAAUACCGCAUGAGAUCUACGGAUGAAAGCAGGGGAUCGCAAGACCUUGUGCUACUAGAGCGGCCGAGGGCAGAUGAGGUAGUUGGUGGGAUAAAAGCUUACCAAGCCGGCGAUCUGUAGCUGGUCUGAGAGGACGAUCAGCCACACUGGGACUGAGAAACGGCCCAGACUCCUACGGGAGGCAGCAGUGGGGAAUUUUGGACAAUGGGCGCAAGCCUGAUCCAGCAAUGCCGCGUGCAGGAUGAAGGCCUUCGGGUUGUAAACUGCUUUUGUACGGAACGAAAAGCCCCGGGUUAAUACCCUGGGGUCAUGACGGUACCGUAAGAAUAAGCACCGGCUAACUACGUGCCAGCAGCCGCCGCAG